GAUGAACGCUAGCGAUAGGCUUAACACAUGCAAGUCGAGGGGCAGCAUGGUCUUAGCUUGCUAAGACUGAUGGCGAACGGCGCACGGGUGCGUAACGCGUAUGCAACUUGCCUCACAGAGGGGGAUAACCCGCCGAAAGACGGACUAAUAACGCGUACACUUGGGAUAGGGCAUCCUGACCCAAGGAAAUGAAAUUCGAUGUGCGAUAGGCAUGCGACCCAUUAGCUGGUUGGUGAGGUAACGGCUCACCAAGGCGACGAUGGGUAAGGGAACUAAGAGGGUGAACCCUCACACGGGUACUGGGACACGGACCAGACUCCUACGGGAGGCAGCAGUAAGGAAUACUGGUCAAUGGGCGAGAGCCUGAACCAGCCAAGUCGCGUGAAGGAUGACUGUCUUAUGGAUUGUAAACUUCGUUUAUACGGGAAUAUCAAGAGGCACGUGUGGCUCCCUGCAUGUACCGUAUGAAUAAGCAUCGGCUAACUCCGUG
rnacentral:rRNA from 1 species